rnacentral:lncRNA from 10 species
GAAGAGCUGCCCUCAGCGUGGCCGGGCAACAUCUAAUCGGCUGAAAGCUUGGAUCGAAUGAAAAGGCAGAGGAAAGGUUCUGAAGACCUCAAAUGGACUGAGCCACACUACCAGCAUCCAGCAUCCAUGGUUCUCCAGUCUGCAGAUGGCCUAUUAUGGGACUUUUCAGUCUUCAUAAUUAUGUGAGAGAAAGAAAAUGAAAAGGAUUUGUAAACUAUAAAUCUCUAAACAGAUGGGAGGAAAGGAAUUGAUGAAACAAUAAAUUUAUUGAUGAAACAAUAAAAAUAAACAUAAAGAACC